rnacentral:tRNA from 1 species
AGCUCAUUAGCUCAGUUGGUUAGAGCGUCGUGCUAGUAAAGCGAAGGUCGCGGGUUCAAUCCCCUCAUGGGUCA